UGCGGUGGAGUGAAACGGAAAAUCACGAAAGGCUCAUAACCUUUAAAUAGCAGGUUCGACUCCUGUCACUCGCAA
rnacentral:tRNA from 1 species